rnacentral:rRNA from 1 species
AUUGAACGCUGGCGGCAGGCCUAACACAUGCAAGUCGAGCGGAUGAAGGGAGCUUGCUCCUGGAUUCAGCGGCGGACGGGUGAGUAAUGCCUAGGAAUCUGCCUGGUAGUGGGGGAUAACGUCCGGAAACGGGCGCUAAUACCGCCUACGUCCUGAGGGAGAAAGUGGGGGAUCUUCGGACCUCUUGCUAUCAGAUGAGCCUAGGUCGGUUUAGCUAGUUGGUGGGGUAAAGGCCUACCAAGGCGACGAUCCGCAACUGGUCUGAGAGGAUGAUCAGUCACACGAGAGCGGAGACACGGACCAGGCUCCUACGGGAGGCAGCAGUGGGGAAUGUUAGGCAGUAGGCGGAAGCCUUGUCCAACCGGGCGGCGUGUGAGGAAGAGGUCUUCCGAUUGUGAAGCACGUUAAGUUGGGGGAAAGGGCAGUAAGUUAAUACCUUGCUGUAUUGACGUUACCAACAGAAGAAGCACCGGCUAACUUCGUG